UUGAGGUCUCAGAUGCUUAAGCCAAGGGCUCGGUGCACAUAGUGUUUUCCCUGCUACCUGUGGAUCAAGAUUCAGAGCUCUCGGUUUCUUCAGCACCACGUCUGCCUGCACGCUGCCAUGCUUGAUGAUAAUGAACUAAACCUCCGAAACGAAAUGUUCAUAUCAGUUACAUGACAUGCUGUAUGUAGAACACCUCUCAGGAACUCUGGAGAACAGGAAAGCUGCAACAGCGAAGAUGAAGCCCGUGUCAUUGCGUCAGGGAGAUACUGGAUUCCAAGGAUUGCAUCCUGCAUGAGCCACUUAUACAACAUCAAAUAGUGCACGAAGCCUAUGGGGAGUUGCAGAACUGAAACGAUACAGAAGACAUAUUUGAAACUUUCUAGUAGAAUUAUAUUGUUCUCAGGAUAGAGCCAGAAAUUCUGCACAGAACCCAGAAGACUCAGCUCAUCUGUCCUCACCCACAUUGCACUGUACUGUAGUAUAUUACAGUGUAGUACUUCACUGAUGGAGUGGUCAGCCUAGAUCUGGCUCAUGUCCCCUCUCCCUGGAGUCCUCUUAAUCCCGGACAGCUCUCCACUACCCACUCAGCAGAUGCCCAUUUGGAUAUUCUUUCCUACAGAAAUCGGGAGCCCAAGUCUCUGAGCACAGACAAGAGACACACAUGGGCCUUGACAACUGUUAGGUCCUGUCGUCACUUCUGAAAGAGACAUCUACGAGUGCUUUCAGGCUCAGUAAACCUAUUAGAAGAGCCAAACAGACAUAGACGGCCAUGUUUGAAUCGCCAUUGUCAGUACUUUUGUUCUGAUUAUAAUACCCUGUUUGAAGAUUUGCAUUCUGAGGCAUGGCCCAUGGAAAGUGAGUGCACUACUACAGAACUACAUCCCUGCCAAGCUGGAUUUCUGAAGCCAAGACCUCAGGCAGUAGCCACCACCUGUCAACGAGGGUGCAGAAGGU
rnacentral:sRNA from 1 species